AGCGAACGCUGGCGGCAGGCUUAACACAUGCAAGUCGAACGGGUAUCUUCGGAUACUAGUGGCAGACGGGUGAGUAACACGUGGGAACGUACCUUUCGGUUCGGAAUAAUACAGGGAAACUUGUACUAAUACCGGAUAAGCCCUUCGGGGGAAAGAUUUACCGCCGAUAGAUCGGCCCGCGUCUGAUUGGCUAGUUGCUG
rnacentral:rRNA from 1 species